GUCUGUUGCAGAUCUGGUGAGUUUACUGACCAUUGUACCAGGUGUUGUCUCCAGAUUGGGUAGAUGGUUGGAGUGUCGCUCGGAGUAUCCUGUCUGCCGGGUCCUACGUCACAUCUGAAGAUCGUUUCUGAUUUUUGUAUAUGUUUUUAUUUGUAUUCGGUAUUCGCUGUAUUUGGUGUGUUGUUGUAUUUGUUGGUGUGGUUGUUGUAUAAAUCCUAGCCGGCUAGCAGUGUGUUGAUUUGUGUUGUAUUGGGCUUUCCGUUAUCGUUUUUCCGCUGUGUUGGUUUUUAAUGCAGCCAAGUGGGCUGUUUAUUGUAUUUAUAUAACUGCGUGGUUGUGUUUUAUUAUGUUCCAGCCGAGUGGGCUGUGUAUAAACUGCGUGGUUGUGUAUAUAUUCCAGCCGCAUGUGGCUGAUGUA